UCACUCAACCUUUGCAGGGGGGAAAUGGCAGUAUUCAUUCAGCUGGCUUUGUUUUCUGCAGUUCUUGCAGGUGUCCAGAGUCAGGUCAAACUGGAGGAGUCUGGAGGGGAUGUGAAAAGGCCAGGGGAGUCCCUCCGCCUCACCUGUCGAGGCUCUGGCUUCACCUUCAGCAGCAACAGCAUGCACUGGGUGCGCCAGGCUCCAGGGAAGGGACUGGAGUGGGUUGCUUACAUAAGGUAUGAUGGUGGCACCCAAUACUAUGCAGACAAGGUGAAGGGGCGCUUCACCAUCUCCAGAGACAACCCCUCCAACAUGCUGUAUCUGCAAAUGAACAACCUGAAAGCCGAGGACACAGCACUGUAUUACUGCGCAAGACACACAGUGGGAGGAAUUCUUGCCGGUCCCACAGGACAGUGGAAGCUGCUCUUCCUACAAGUGGCCAUAGGACGGCCCCGAGCCAAGGCCACGAAAGACCGCGAGGUGCUCCGCCGGAACUCGGGGGACAGCUGA